UACGGAGGGUGCGAGCGUUGUCCGGAAUCACUGGGCGUAAAGGGCGCGUAGGCGGCCUGAUAAGUAGGGGUGAAAUCCUGCGGCUUAACCGCAGGGCUGCCUUCUAAACUGUCAGGCUCGAGCACAGUAGAGGCAGGUGGAAUUCCCGGUGUAGCGGUGGAAUGCGUAGAGAUCGGGAAGAACAUCAGUGGCGAAGGCGGCCUGCUGGGCUGUUGCUGACGCUGAGGCGCGACAGCGUGGGGAGCAAACAGG
rnacentral:rRNA from 1 species